UGGACAAAUUGAGGUCUUAAGAUGGUGUACCUAUUUCGGGGUUAUCGGCAAUCUAUUGGAAUUUGUUUUCUUAUUCGUUUCGAGGAUGUUUUGUUGUGUUUUUGUCCGUGUUUUAUUGGCACCGUUCGCCAUAGCCCGUCGGUGAAAGCUUAUAGCCCCUGCCGCCAGUCUCGCGUUUACGAGAGCGCCAUUGUUGUGUCUGCCAUGUUGGCCACCAGGACAGAGCCGGUGUUGGGAGGGCGGAUUCGGAGGCGGAGGUAAAGAAAAGAGAUGGAUGAGGAGAGUGGGAUGGAAGACGGGUACUGGAUGGAAGAGUGAGAGUGGGAAUGGUAGUGGUAGAGACUAAGCGGGAGGAUUGGAGUAAUUGUGGUGGUGGUAUAGGGAAAGGGCGGAGGCUUGUCGGGAAGAGACAUUUCAGGCGGAGGCAACCUUGGGAUAGCCUGUUUCCCAAGAAUGAAGCGGAGUUCCUGAGAAAGAGUGCAGUGCUGUCAAAUGAUGAUUGUGUAUGUGGUUUUUGACAGCAGGGUAGUUCACUCUCUCUUCGAGUGAGAUUCUGUUGGCAAUGAAGGGGUUAGGAAGAGAGGUGCAACUGAAUAAUGCACUCGAGGUUUUUAAUUGGAUGAGACCGAGGGCGAAUAUGCAGCUGGACAGUGCAACAGUUGCAGUCAUGGUGAGGAUUUUAUGGCGUGAACUUACAGCUUUAUCGCGAUCAUUUGAAAGCCAGAGGGGAGAAAUAUAUUCAUGAGAUAUCCUUUAGCUUAUACUUUUCUUAUUACUGCACUAUCCCUGAACCGGAAUCUAUGGAUAUCCUGUGGUUUUUCGAGCAGAUGAAAAAUCGGGAUCUGGUAUUUAGAAGGGUAGGUGUGUGGGGGUAACAUCUUCAAGCUUCUUGAAGAGAUGAAGGUUCAAGGAAUUCGACCAGAUGUUAACAAAUAUGACACCGCAAUUACUUCUUGCGCAAGUGGAUCUUGAUGUGAAGAAGCCAAGGAGCUGUUCCUUGAGAUGACGGCGACAAAUUGUACACUGGGUAAGAAAACUCACAAUUCAUGAUUAGAUGUAUACGGGCAAGCAGGAUCCACAACGAAGUUGUACAUGCUCUCAAUGAAUUCCAUAGUGUAAGUUGCCCUAGUAAAAUUGUAACAUGUGUAUAACUUCACUCUGCACUUCGAUUGGCUAGACUUUGCAGUGCAGCGGCAGAGAUGAAAGAUUCGAUGCAUGCCAGACCUAGCUACUUUCGAUACCUUGAUAGCUCUUCUUGCAAGAGAAGGUUAGUGUAAGCAUACAGGGUUGGUACUGAAUGAACCUGGAAAAAACAGUUACAGUCCAAACGA